rnacentral:rRNA from 1 species
UAAUACAGAGGUGGCAAACGUUGUCCGGAUUUAUUGGGUGUAAAGGGCAUGUAGGCGGUCUUGUAAGUCAAAGGUGAAAUGGCCCGGCUUAACCAGGUCAUUGCCUUUGAAACUGCGGGGCUUGAGUACGGAAGAGGAAAGCGGAAUUCCCAGUGUAGCGGUGAAAUGCGUAGAUAUUGGGAGGAACACCGGUGGCGAAGGCGGCUUUCUGGUCCGAAACUGACGCUGAGAUGCGAAAGCCAGGGGAGCAAACGGG